rnacentral:lncRNA from 1 species
UCGGAGAAAAAGAACCAAACGCGGGAGAAGGAGCUGACUGCCGAUCAUCGCUGCAUCGGAGCCAUUGUCGGGUGCCAAAAAAGUAAAAAUUUUCCCUACCCACUUGGAAUUCGAUUACGAGCACCCUCGUGGCCAAUCGAAGCAAGAGAGACGGCGGAUGAGCCAGAAACUGUGGACAAAGUCCGGUAGAGUCGCCACGGCCAAAACUCUAAAAUUCCUUCGAUAAGUCCUUUCUUGAUUCCUGUUUCAUAUGAUUUUUUUUUAUUAUUAUAAAGAUCCGAAACGUAAAUGAAAAUAAAGUUAUAAAUUAAAUCCGUAAGCAAAGUAAUAGAGUUAGAGUUUACAUUCCUUAUAUAAUACUUUAAAAUGCCUAAUAGAGUUACGAGAAUGUCUAUUCUAAAAGAAUAAAUGAAAGUCAAAGAAAUAAAUAAAAGACAAAUAACUAAGCAAUCCUAAGAUGACCUUCACUAACUCUUGAAGGGAAUCCGAGUGGUAAAUUAUUCACAACCCCCUCAUUGAUCAGAAUAUAGAUAUUGGUCCUCUUGAUAUAAAAUAGUUAAUGAAGGGGUGAGCUACACUAGUCCAAUAAGAAUAUCACACUAAUUACAGAUACAAAAAAUUGAAGAUUGGUAAAAAUAAAAAAAAAACAACCAAUUGAACCCUUAAUUUCAUGUAAAUUCAUUUACUAUAAAGAAAACCAUUUAUUCCAUAUUGUAUAACAAGUCUUUCCCAACAAUAACAUAUGAAAACUCAUAUUCAUGCCCUAUUAUUUAUUACUUAUAAGAUGACAGAAAAUUAUUAUUUUAUAUUUUUACCCACUUACCAGUACCCCUG